rnacentral:miRNA from 2 species
GUGCAUUAAUUGGAAGAACA